rnacentral:rRNA from 1 species
GCCCUUCAGGCCUAACACAUGCAAGUCGAGCGGUAACACAGAGAGCUUGCUCUCGGGUGACGAGCGGCGGACGGGUGAGUAAUGUCUGGGAAACUGCCUGAUGGAGGGGGAUAACUACUGGAAACGGUAGCUAAUACCGCAUAACGUCGCAAGACCAAAGUGGGGGACCUUCGGGCCUCAUGCCAUCAGAUGUGCCCAGAUGGGAUUAGCUAGUAGGUGGGGUAAUGGCUCACCUAGGCGACGAUCCCUAGCUGGUCUGAGAGGAUGACCAGCCACACUGGAACUGAGACACGGUCCAGACUCCUACGGGAGGCAGCAGUGGGGAAUAUUGCACAAUGGGCGCAAGCCUGAUGCAGCCAUGCCGCGUGUAUGAAGAAGGCCUUCGGGUUGUAAAGUACUUUCAGCGAGGAGGAAGGCGUUAAGGUUAAUAACCUUGGCGAUUGACGUUACUCGCAGAAGAAGCUCCGGCUAACUCCGUGCCAGCAGCCGCGGUAAUACGGAGGGUGCAAGCGUUAAUCGGAAUUACUGGGCGUAAAGCGCACGCCAGGCGGUCUGUCAAGUCGGAUGUGAAAUCCCCCGGGCUCAACCUGGGAACUGCAUUCGAAACUGGCCAGGCUAGAGUCUUGUAGAGGGGGGUAGAAUUCCAGGUGUAGCGGUGAAAUGCGUAGAGAUCUGGAGGAAUACCGGUGGCGAAGGCGGCCCCCCUGGACAAAGACUGACGCUCAGGUGCGAAAGCGUGGGGAGCAAACAGGAUUAGAUACCCUGGUAGUCCACGCCGUAAACGAUGUCGACUUGGAGGUUGUGCCCUUGAGGCGUGRCUUCCGGAGCUAACGCGUUAAGUCGACCGCCUGGGGAGUACGGCCGCAAGGUUAAAACUCAAAUGAAUUGACGGGGGCCCGCACAAGCGGUGGAGCAUGUGGUUUAAUUCGAUGCAACGCGAAGAACCUUACCUACUCUUGACAUCCAGAGAACUUAGCAGAGAUGCUUUGGUGCCUUCGGGAACUCUGAGACAGGUGCUGCAUGGCUGUCGUCAGCUCGUGUUGUGAAAUGUUGGGUUAAGUCCCGCAACGAGCGCAACCCUUAUCCUUUGUUGCCAGCGGUCCGGCCGGGAACUCAAAGGAGACUGCCAGUGAUAAACUGGAGGAAGGUGGGGAUGACGUCAAGUCAUCAUGGCCCUUACGAGUAGGGCUACACACGUGCUACAAUGGCAUAUACAAAGAGAAGCGACCUCGCGAGAGCAAGCGGACCUCAUAAAGUAUGUCGUAGUCCGGAUUGGAGUCUGCAACUCGACUCCAUGAAGUCGGAAUCGCUAGUAAUCGUAGAUCAGAAUGCUACGGUGAAUACGUUCCCGGGCCUUGUACACUCCGCCCAAGGGC